UGGAAUAUAUGCGGAUAUUGAGCUGCACGUAGAAUAGAUAAGACACAGCUUUUAACGAGGUUCGGCUAUGCCUACGUCCUCGGAGAGCAACAGCAGUAACCUUUCACUAUAAAAUAAUAUGGCUACAAACUUAUUGUUUACAACAUAUGUGGCUCACUGAAUUUUCUCUCUUUUCUUUCUUUCUCUUCCUUUCUCUUUUUUUCUUCCUCUUCUUCUUUCCGUUUCUCUUCUUAUUUAUAGGCUGAAAUAAUCACUAUUCAUCACUAUUCAUCACUGUUCACCCGUGACAGACAAACUCUAUCAAAGCCGCCAAAUGAACAGUAAUGAACAGUAAUGAACAGUAUCAAAGCCGUCAAAUGAACAGUGAUGAACAGUAAUGAACAGUAAUGUGGGCUCCACAUCAAGACUUUUAUAACACUCCCCCUUGGAGACCACAUGACCCUAGAUUGGUUGCCUCAUUAAAACCUUGCUUGGAAAAACCCAGUGGGAAAAUCUAAGCGAAGGAAAAAGAGUACAACGUGCAUAUGUCCUAUGUUAGAGGACUCUUGAAUGCUCCCCCUGAUUUUGCAUGCUCCAACUUGAUUGCUUGCAGAGUUGUCGUAAUCCGAUGCCAUGUACUAACUUUUGGAAUGUAUAUUUCAGCAAUGAUUUAGUGAAGAGAUCUGCCAGGUUAUCACUUGAGCGGAUUUGUCUGACUUUGAUUUCUUGACUCUUCUGGAGCUCAUGUGUAUAGAAAAACUUUGGUGAUAUGUGUUUGGUCCUGUCGCCCUUGAUAUAUCCUCCUGUAAUCUGAGCAAUACAAGUGGCAUUGUCCUCAUUCAGAAUUGUUGGAGUGUCUGUUGUUGAGGGUAGGGCACAUGUGCUUCGGAUGUGAUGGAUUACCGAUCUUAACCAAACGCAUUCACGACUGGCUUCAUGGAGGGCAAGUAUUUCCGAGUGAUUGGAAGAUGUGGCCACUAAUGUUUGUUUUGUUGAACGCCAUGAGAUCGCAGUUCCUCCACAUGUAAAUACAUACCCAGUCUGUGAUCGUCCUUGAUGUGGAUCAGAGAGAUAUCCUGCAUCAGCAUAACCAAUAAUACUCUGGGCGUUGGUCGAUUCACUGGAAUAGAAUAACCCCAUGUCUGUUGUCCCACGAAGGUAUCGUAGAACAUGUUUGAUGCCGGUCCAGUGUCGCCUUGUUGGAGCAGAACUGUACCUUGCUAACAGAUUUACUGAGAAUGAUAUGUCUGGUCUGGUACAUUGUGCGAGGUACAAUAAAGCACCUAUUGCACUAAGAUAUGGUACUUCUGGACCAAGGACCAUUUCAUCAUUCCCUUUUGGACGAUAUGGGUCUUUCUUAGUGUCAAGCGAUCGAACGACCAUUGGAGUGCUAAGUGGAUGGGCUUUAUCCAUGCCAAACCGUUUCAAUACUUUCUCAGUAUAAGUUGAUUGAUGCACCAAAAUUCCAUUAGCACUGUGUUCAAUCUGCAAGCCAAGACAAUAUUUUGUCUUUCCAAGAUCCUUCAUCUCAAACUCACGUUUGAGAUAAUCAACAGUCUUUUGAAGCUCUGCAGAAGUUCCAAUUAGAUUCAUGUCGUCGACAUAUACUGCCACUAUCGCAAAUCCAGACUUUGAUUUCUUAAUAAACACACAUGGGCAAACAGGAUCAUUUGUGUAUCCUUCCUUCAGUAAAUACUUACUGAGACGAUUGUACCACAUUCGUCCAGAUUGUUUUAGCCCAUAUAAUGAUCUUCUCAAUUUAACUGAGAACAUGCCCCGUGGUGUGUUUCUGGCUGCUUCAGGCAACCUGAAUCCUUCUGGAACUUUCAUAUAUAUAUAUCUGUAUCCAAUUCUCCAUACAAAUAUGCGGUAAUAACAUCCAUGAGUCUCAUUUCAAGUUUUUCUGAAACCGCCAAACUUAUUAGGUAACGGAAUGUAAUUGUGUCCAUUACUGGAGAGUACGUUUCCACAUAAUCAAUUCCAGGCCUUUGUGAAAAACCUUGCGCAACGAGUCGCGCUUUAUACCUUGAGAUCUCAUUUUUCUCAUUGCGUUUUCUUGUAAAUACCCACUUGUAACCUACAGGGUUUACAUUGGGUGGAGUUGGACUAAUAUGUCCAAAAACACUCCUCUUUUCCAAAGAAUUUAAUUCUGCCUGGAUUGCAUCCUUCCACUUGGGCCAAUCUUGCCUCUGUGUACAUUCAUUAAUAGAGCGUGGUUCAAUAUCAUCAUUUUUUAUGAUUUCAGCAGCCACUGAGAAUGCAAAUAUAUCAUCGAUGAUCAUCUCAUUUCUACUCCACAAUUCAUUAGUGGACGUAUAAUUUAUGGAGAUUUCUUGACUUUCAGGUACGGUUGCCACUCCAGGGGCACUUGUUUCACCAAUGACUUUUUCCUUGUCAAGAAGUACCUGUCCCUCUUUGGGGGCAUUUGAAUUAUGAAUUGUGGGCUCUCUAUUUAUUUCAUGUGGAUUCAUUUUGUCCAUCAACUUCCUCUUUCGAGGAACUGAAUCCUUUGAGCCUAGUGGUCUGCCACGUUUUAGGCGUGCAGCAGAUGAACCAUUUGCUGGCACAUUGCUUUGUCCAUUAUGGACAUCAAUCCGUGCGGGUGCAUUUGCAGCUGGGAUAUGAGAUUUCGUCACCUGUGCUGCAUCAUUAAAUGCAUCUGACAUCUGAUUUGCAAUACUUUGGAGGUGAACGAUCCUUCUCACUCCGUUUUCGCAUUGAGCAGUAUGAGGAUCGAGAUGAGACAAUGUGGAUACAUUCCAGGAUAAUUCAUAUCGUUUUUCAGGAAUGAGUUUGCCUUGUUCUUUAGACACAGAUUUUUCUCCACCUAAAGGUGGAAAGAUUGUCUCAUCAAAAUCACAAUCCGCAAAUCGUGCGGUAAAAAUAUCACCCGUCAGGGGUUCCAAGUAUCUGAUGAUAGAUGGUGAAUCAACACCAACAUAAAUUCCCAAUCUGCGUUGAGGGCCCAUCUUAGUACGUUGCGAUGGUGCAAUAGGCACAUAUACCGCACACCCAAAGAUUCUUAAAUGUGAAAUGUUUGGUUGAUUUCCCAAUACAAGUUGUAUUGGAGAACCUUGAUUAUUGGCGAUUGGCCUCAAUCGCACAAGCGAUGCUGCAUGUAAAAUGGCAUAUCCCCAAGCAGAAACUGGCAACUUUGUUUUCAUUAGCAAAGUGCGUGCUAUCAAUUGAAGGCGUUUAAUUAAAGCUUCUGCCAAGCCAUUUUGAGUAUGCACAUGGGGAACAGGAUGUUCAAUAUCAAUGCCUAAUGACAUGCAGUAGUCAUCAAAAGUCUGAGAUGUAAAUUCACCAGCAUUAUCGAGUCUGAUUGACUUAAUGGGAUAAUCUGGGAAUUGGGCUCGUAAUUUAAUUAUCUGAGCCAAAAGCCUAGCAAAUGCCAUAUUCCGAGUAGAUAAAAGACAAACAUGUGACCAUCGGGUAGAUGCGUCCACCAAGACCAUAAAGUACCGAAAUGGUCCACAUGGGGGAUGAAUGGGUCCACAAAUGUCCCCUUGAAUUCUCUGCAAAAAUGAUGGAGACUCAACAUCAACCUUUGGUUGUGAUGGUCUGAUCACCAACUUCCCUUGUGAACAAGCUUGGCAAAAGAUGUCGCUUGAUAACAUAAUGUGUUUAGUCAACAAGGGAUGUCCUUUAGAGUUGGUGAUAAUCCUGCGCAUCAUGGUGGAUCCAGGAUGACCCAAUCUGUCAUGCCAAAGCUUAAAAGCAUUUGAGUCAGUAGACUCUUGGUCCAUGACACUAUGUGCCUCAAUUGUCCGUAUGGUUGUGUAAUACAACCCUGAUGAGAGCUCACAAAGCUUUUCCAGUAUACGCUUUUGGGUAUCACUGGAGGUAAUACAAAGAUAUUCCAUGUUUUCCUCUUUCUUUGUUUCAACAUGGUAGCCAUUCAAACGUAUAUCUUUGAAACUCAACAGAUUCCUUCUGGAGUUAGAUGAAUACAAAGCAUCUGGAAUGGACAAUAUUGUUCCAUUAGGUAACAUAAUUUGGGCUAUUCCUGAACCUUCGAUCAGAUCUGCAGGACCUGAUAUGGUUGUUACCUUUGCUUUUGUAAGUAUUAAUUUUGAGAAAUACUUCUGAUCUUGAAAGAUCGUAUGAGUAGUUGCGCUGUCUGCGAGACAAAUAUCUCUGCCAUAGCCUUUGUUUUGAGGGCAUCCAUAAUUUACAUCCAUGCCACCAAAUAAGUAAAAUGAGCUGGAAUAUAUAAAGAAGACAACAUUACCACUUUUAUUUAAACAACACUUCAGCUAAUACAAAUAGUACAUUAAGGAAUUUAAUCUAAUUCGGACUUAAUAAAGAAGACAGCAUUACCACUUUUAUUGGAUUGAAAUUUAAACAACACUUCAGCUAAUACAAAUAGUACAUUAAGGAAUUUAAUCUAAUUCGGACUCAUAACCUUCAUUCCCUUUUUCAGUAACAAAAUCAGAAACAUCUAGAUGCGUCUUGUUUAGCUUACGUGAUAUUUCUGAUGAGCCAUCUGUGGCUGGCGGAGCAUGAUCAAUGUAAUUUAUCUCCACUUUCCUGUUCUUAAGUGAAGCUUGAUAGAGAUCCGCCAAAUGCCUGGGUGUACGACAUGCGCGCAUCCAAUGUCCCCUUGCACCACAUCUGUGACAAGGGCUUUCAACAUUUCUAGGCACAUGGCUCAUCUGUGCCUUUCCCUUAUUACGGGAUGCAUUUUUGCCAUUCAUGGAUGGACCGCUCCUUGGACCUAAGCCCUCUGAACGAGCACCAUGAUUUUUUCUACUCCAUUGCCAGUGGCCACGCUUGCCCCCUCGCCCACGUUUGUGGAUACUGCCACGAGAUGAAGUGGCAUUCACUUCCUGAGAUGCAGCAUUUAUUUCAGGAAGUGGUGCUGAGCCCGUUGGGCGAGAUUGGUGAUUCUUUAAUAAGAGCUCAUUAUUCUGCUCAGCUAACAAGAGGCAAGAGACAAGUUCCGAGUACUUCUUGAAACUGCUAUGUCUGUAUUGCUGUUAAAGGAGGACAUUUGAAGCAUGAAAAGUGCUCAGAGUUUUUUCGAGCAUAUCCUCCUCAGAUAUAUUUUCCCCACAUAGCCUCAUUAAUGAGGUAAUUCUGUGCAUAGCAGAGUUAUACUCGGACACUGACUUGAAAUCUUGAAAUCUCAAGUGGGUCCAUUCGUAUCUAGCUCUUGGGAGAGUCAUCGUCUUCUGGUGAUCGUAUCUUUCACCUAUAGCUUUCCACAGAACCAACGGUUCAUCAACCACCACAUAUUCGCUCUUCAGCGCUUGAUGGAUGUGGCGGCGAAGAAAAAUCAUGGCCUUCGCAUUCUCUUCAGGCGAAGCAUCAUUCUCAUCUACAAUUGUUUGUCCGAGGCCAUUGGCUCGUAGAUGAAUUUUGGCAUCCAGGACCCAUGAUAAAUAGUUGUCCCCGGAAAGGUCCAAGGCAGCAAACUCUAGUUUUGCCAAAUUUGCCAUCCAAAACUUUAGGCUCGAGAUCUGGAAUAUUAAGCCACUUAUUAAUAGGAAUUUCAGGUCCUCAUUAUUCAGGUAUAUUAAUUGAAUAUUAAGCCACUUGUUAAUAGGAAUUUCAGGUCCUCAUUAUUCAGGUAUAUUAAUUGAAUAUUAAGCCACUUAUUAAUAGGAAUUUCAGGUCCUCAUUAUUCAGGUAUAUUAAUUGAAGAUAAAAGUAAAGUGUUAUGAAUUUGCUGGUAUGGACGAUAAACCCGCACCAUACUUUAAAUAAAAUUAAAUGUGGGGUUAAAACCACCAACGAAUAAAAUAAGAAAAGUUAGUAUUAGUAACGGUCUCCCACUGAUAAUAUGUUUAGUAUUACCAAGGGUCCAUUUUUGUUAAUGGUUAGUAAAUGUGCGGUAAAGUAAAUGUGCUUGUAUGAGCACUAAUUCUGCUCCAUUCAUUUAAAUAAAAGUAAAGGCGUGGACGAUAAACCCGCACCACCCUUUAAAUAAAUAUUGCCGUAUGGGUAAUAAGCCUACACCAUACCAUAAAUAAAAUUAAAUGUGGGGUUAAAACCACCACCGAAUAAAAUAAGAAAAAAUUAGUAUUAGUAACGGUCUCCCACUGAUAAUAUGUUUAGUAUUACAAAAGGUCCAUUUUUGUUAAUGGUUAGUAAUAGAGAAGCAGAUAGAUAUAGUAUAAUAUAUAGUGUUGAGUUGGAAAAAUUUCAGAAAUAAAAGGAGAGAUUAUCGUGCUGAUAACGUGUUAUAAAAUAACCUGGAAUAUAUGCGGAUAUUGAGCUGCACGUAGAAUAGAUAAGACACAGCUUUUAACGAGGUUCGGCUAUGCCUACGUCCUCGGAGAGCAACAGCAGUAACCUUUCACUAUAAAAUAAUAUGGCUACAAACUUAUUGUUUACAACAUAUGUGGCUCACUGAAUUUUCUCUCUUUUCUUUCUUUCUCUUCCUUUCUCUUUUUUUCUUCCUCUUCUUCUUUCCGUUUCUCUUCUU
rnacentral:lncRNA from 1 species